rnacentral:rRNA from 1 species
AGGGCGCACGGUGGAUGCCUUGGCACUAGAAGCCGAUGAAGGACGUUACUAACGACGAUAUGCUUUGGGGAGCUGUAAGUAAGCUUUGAUCCAGAGAUUUCCGAAUGGGGAAACCCAGCAUGAGUUAUGUCAUGUUAUCGAUAUGUGAAUACAUAGCAUAUCAGAAGGCACACCCGGAGAACUGAAACAUCUUAGUACCCGGAGGAAGAGAAAGAAAAUUCGAUUCCCUUAGUAGCGGCGAGCGAAACGGGAAGAGCCCAAACCAACAAGCUUGCUUGUUGGGGUUGUAGGACACUCUAUACGGAGUUACAAAGGACGACAUUAGACGAAUCAUCUGGAAAGAUGAAUCAAAGAAGGUAAUAAUCCUGUAGUCGAAAAUGUUGUCUCUCUUGAGUGGAUCCUGAGUACGACGGAGCACGUGAAAUUCCGUCGGAAUCUGGGAGGACCAUCUCCUAAGGCUAAAUACUCUCUAGUGACCGAUAGUGAACCAGUACCGUGAGGGAAAGGUGAAAAGCACCCCGGAAGGGGAGUGAAAUAGAACCUGAAACCGUGUGCUUACAAGUAGUCAGAGCCCGUUAAUGGGUGAUGGCGUGCCUUUUGUAGAAUGAACCGGCGAGUUACGAUUUGAUGCAAGGUUAAGCAGUAAAUGUGGAGCCGUAGCGAAAGCGAGUCUGAAUAGGGCGUUUAGUAUUUGGUCGUAGACCCGAAACCAGGUGAUCUACCCUUGGUCAGGUUGAAGUUCAGGUAACACUGAAUGGAGGACCGAACCGACUUACGUUGAAAAGUGAGCGGAUGAACUGAGGGUAGCGGAGAAAUUCCAAUCGAACCUGGAGAUAGCUGGUUCUCUCCGAAAUAGCUUUAGGGCUAGCCUCAAGUGAUGAUUAUUGGAGGUAGAGCACUGUUUGGACGAGGGGCCCCUCUCGGGUUACCGAAUUCAGACAAACUCCGAAUGCCAAUUAAUUUAACUUGGGAGUCAGAACAUGGGUGAUAAGGUCCGUGUUCGAAAGGGAAACAGCCCAGACCACCAGCUAAGGUCCCAAAAUAUAUGUUAAGUGGAAAAGGAUGUGGCGUUGCCCAGACAACUAGGAUGUUGGCUUAGAAGCAGCCAUCAUUUAAAGAGUGCGUAAUAGCUCACUAGUCGAGUGACACUGCGCCGAAAAUGUACCGGGGCUAAACAUAUUACCGAAGCUGUGGAUUGUCCUUUGGACAAUGGUAGGAGAGCGUUCUAAGGGCGUUGAAGCAUGAUCGUAAGGACAUGUGGAGCGCUUAGAAGUGAGAAUGCCGGUGUGAGUAGCGAAAGACGGGUGAGAAUCCCGUCCACCGAUUGACUAAGGUUUCCAGAGGAAGGCUCGUCCGCUCUGGGUUAGUCGGGUCCUAAGCUGAGGCCGACAGGCGUAGGCGAUGGAUAACAGGUUGAUAUUCCUGUACCACCUAUAAUCGUUUUAAUCGAUGGGGGGACGCAGUAGGAUAGGCGAAGCGUGCGAUUGGAUUGCACGUCUAAGCAGUAAGGCUGAGUAUUAGGCAAAUCCGGUACUCGUUAAGGCUGAGCUGUGAUGGGGAGAAGACAUUGUGUCUUCGAGUCGUUGAUUUCACACUGCCGAGAAAAGCCUCUAGAUAGAAAAUAGGUGCCCGUACCGCAAACCGACACAGGUAGUCAAGAUGAGAAUUCUAAGGUGAGCGAGCGAACUCUCGUUAAGGAACUCGGCAAAAUGACCCCGUAACUUCGGGAGAAGGGGUGCUCUUUAGGGUUAACGCCCAGAAGAGCCGCAGUGAAUAGGCCCAAGCGACUGUUUAUCAAAAACACAGGUCUCUGCUAAACCGUAAGGUGAUGUAUAGGGGCUGACGCCUGCCCGGUGCUGGAAGGUUAAGAGGAGUGGUUAGCUUCUGCGAAGCUACGAAUCGAAGCCCCAGUAAACGGCGGCCGUAACUAUAACGGUCCUAAGGUAGCGAAAUUCCUUGUCGGGUAAGUUCCGACCCGCACGAAAGGCGUAACGAUUUGGGCACUGUCUCAACGAGAGACUCGGUGAAAUCAUAGUACCUGUGAAGAUGCAGGUUACCCGCGACAGGACGGAAAGACCCCGUGGAGCUUUACUGUAGCCUGAUAUUGAAAUUCGGCACAGCUUGUACAGGAUAGGUAGGAGCCUUUGAAACGUGAGCGCUAGCUUACGUGGAGGCGCUGGUGGGAUACUACCCUAGCUGUGUUGGCUUUCUAACCCGCACCACUUAUCGUGGUGGGAGACAGUGUCAGGCGGGCAGUUUGACUGGGGCGGUCGCCUCCUAAAAGGUAACGGAGGCGCUCAAAGGUUCCCUCAGAAUGGUUGGAAAUCAUUCAUAGAGUGUAAAGGCAUAAGGGAGCUUGACUGCGAGACCUACAAGUCGAGCAGGGUCGAAAGACGGACUUAGUGAUCCGGUGGUUCCGCAUGGAAGGGCCAUCGCUCAACGGAUAAAAGCUACCCCGGGGAUAACAGGCUUAUCUCCCCCAAGAGUUCACAUCGACGGGGAGGUUUGGCCACCUCGAUGUCGGCUCAUCGCAUCCUGGGGCUGUAGUCGGUCCCAAGGGUUGGGCUGUUCGCCCAUUAAAGCGGUACGCGAGCUGGGUUCAGAACGUCGUGAGACAGUUCGGUCCCUAUCCGUCGUGGGCGUAGGAAAUUUGAGAGGAGCUGUCCUUAGUACGAGAGGACCGGGAUGGACAUACCUCUGGUGUACCAGUUGUCGUGCCAACGGCAUAGCUGGGUAGCUAUGUGUGGACGGGAUAAGUGCUGAAAGCAUCUAAGCAUGAAGCCCCCCUCAAGAUGAGAUUUCCCAACUUCGGUUAU